rnacentral:lncRNA from 1 species
AACAUUCUCCAAACUGUCCUGGAACCAGAGAUACUUACUUGGUGCAUCAGGACCUGUUCCAUUUCUUAAAAGCCAGAUGGACACAGGGUUGAACAGACUUAAUUGUUGGCUGCUACAGCGGGUAACUGUUGAAAACUGGUCCCACACAGUUCAACACCUGCAUAAUCAUAGUGCUGUUCCACACAGAAGGACACACAGAGCAAAGCACAACCAGAACUGCAGGGCUGGGAGGCCCAGCCUCUCUAAUAAACUUCUAAGUUAACUAUUAACUCAGUUCACCAAAUCUAACUCCCUAAUUCCUGAGGGUGAGUUUCUUCUCUGGUGUGCUUUUAUCCUUUCCUAUCAAAGGAUCUCAGAGGGGACCAACUUAGUUAACAGAAAGGCUCCCAUUAACCUUAAACCCAAAACGAAAGGGUGAGUCAGGGUCUUGAGUUCAGUCUUCCCAGGAGGCUGCUGGUCCCUAUGCAAAUAUCUUUACCUCCAUAACCAGCUCCAAACAUCAAAACCUUCUUUGGAUAUUUUUGUUGCACCCUUUCCUAGAGCAAAUGCGUUUGCCUACUUACCUCAUAACUGCAUAAUAAGAGGAGAGAUGUUACUUAUUUUCUAGAAAACCUAGUUUUGCCUAAGUGCUCCAUCACACAGUUUAACACCAUUGAUAGAUCAAUGUCACACCCAGAUACUUUCAUAAUGACAUAGAUGGCUUAAAAGGCAUUGGAUAAUGAGACUUUAAAGGAUGAAGAACUGGAGCUUUUGUGUGGAUAGGAGGAGCUAAGCCAGUGACACUUGGCUUAUCAUUACCACUAUAGCGUCACUUGUGCCCAGUAGUUGGCAAUGCCCGGGAGUGCCUGGAUUGCUCUCGGUACAUGGGGCAUCUCUGCAGGCACACUUAAGUCAUCUCCAUUUGAGAAAUGUGUUCAGUUGCAGAAAACAGAAUACCCAACCAACAGUGCCCUAAACAAAUAGAGGUGUACUCUAUUCACGUGACAGAAAGGUAGG